UUCAGAAUUUGGAAAGCAGAUGCGUCAGCCAAACUUGGACCGCUUGCUCCGAGAGAAAAAGCAUCACUCACUUACAACAAGAAACUCAAAGAACGUUACAAGUUUCAUCCUCAAGUUCUAAGAAUAUUAAGACAUCGUCACGUGCCUUCAGCUAUUUACAAAUCUGCGCGAGAGAAGAGGAUAAUGCUCCACUCACGUAAAACUAGAGAGGAGAACAGACGACUACAUAGGCAAAAGAAAAAGUACCCUUUGUUCCUGAGAGAAAAAAGCAAAUUGUGUCGGUAUUGGAGUAAGUGGCUGAUUAUAAUGCAUUUAUGUUGCAUUGCAUCAUACCCUGACGGAAAAUGUGAGUUUGGGUGGAGAGGGUUCACUGGGGGAUCUUUUGCGAUAUUGAAGGUUUUACAAAAGUAACUAAGAUCUUUCUGUAACCAAACGUAACCC